CUCGACUAUCUGCUCAAGGUUUUCUGUGGUUUACCUUGAGACUGUGGGCAAAUGCCAGAUAGCAGAAAGGGAGUUUUUGAAUUUUUAGAGCCACAGCUCCGACUCACCUUCGAGCACCGUCUGUUAGAUCAAAUUCAUUAUUGUUUCAAUUUGUACGAGUCGGGACGACUCUUUUCCUCAGGGGGGAGUAGUGUUACAAAGGGUAAAAUCACCCGUUUUACCCCCUUUUCUAAUGAUCUAGUAGUCGGCAUAGAGAAAAGACUUUAUAA